rnacentral:tRNA from 1 species
CGUUGCGCUGGAUCAGGAAGCAGUUCUCCGGCUUCAUGUCCCGGUGGACGAUCCCGUGGUUGUGAGCCGCCUGCAGCGC